rnacentral:rRNA from 1 species
GAUGAACGCUGGCGGCGUGCUUAACACAUGCAAGUCGAACGGAAAGGCCCUGCUUUUGUGGGGUGCUCGAGUGGCGAACGGGUGAGUAACACGUGUGUAACCUGCCCUUGACUUUCGGAUAACUUCAGGAAACUGGGGCUAAUAUCGGAUAGGAGCUCCUGCUGCAUGGUGGGGGUUGGAAAGUUUCGGCGGUUGGGGAUGGACUGGCGGCUUACGAGCUUGUUGGUGGGGUAGUUGCUUACCAAGGGUUUGACGGGUACCCGGCCUGGGAGGGGGACCGGCGACAUGGGGACUGAGAGACGGACCAGACGGCUACGGGAGGCAGCAGGGGGGAGUAUGACACAAUGAGCGGAAGCCUGAGGCGGCGGCGCCGCGGGCGGAAAGACGUCCUUCUGGGUGUAAACCGCUUUCGCCUGUGACGAAGCGGGAGUGACGGUAAUGAAUAAAGAAGCACCGGCUAACUACGUG